UGGAUUGGAUAAACGAUAUAAGCCGCCAAACAUUGAUAAAGGAUAUUUGAGUAACAAAGACCGGGAAAUUAACAGAGUCAAGAUAGUCCGACCUAAAAAGUUUCCCAUACCAACGUGGAGAGUAGAUAAGAUGUUAUGCGAUACGCCUUUCCAACGACCAAAUAUUCCAGAGAAUGCAAUGCUGGAACAUCCCCAGCCUAUUUUAGUGCAAGAUGUGCCAACUAUGGAACGGCAGUCAACAAUUGUUAUCCAUUCUCCGACCGUUUCAUCGAGUUUACUGUUGGAGUCAAAUGAACUAAAAACUGAACAAAACGAAAAUAUAAAAUGACA